UACGGAGGGGGCGAGCGUUGUCCGAAGUUACUGGGCGUAAAGCGCGCGUAGGCGGGUUGGUAAGUCCGCUGUGAAAGCCCGGAGCUCAACUCCGGAGGGUCGGUGGAUACUGCCAGUCUUGAAGGUGCUAGGGGGAGAUGGAAUUACCGGUGUAGCGGUGAAAUGCGUAGAGAUCGGUAGGAACACCAGUGGCGAAGGCGGUCUCCUGGGGCAUUCUUGACGCUGAGGCGCGAAAGCUGGGGGGAGCGAACAGG
rnacentral:rRNA from 1 species